GUCUUUGACUAUACCACCCUGAACAUGCCCAAUCACGUGUUCCCAGAAGCUAAGCAAGGUUGGGCCUGGUUAGCACUUGGAUAGGCAAAUGAGACCACAUAGCAUAUGAGGAGA
rnacentral:rRNA from 1 species